UUAAAACAUUUAAAACCUUACUGUGGAAAAUGUCAGUACGUACAAAAAUGAAGAACAGUUGGAUGAACCAGCCUGUCCCAGCUGGUAGCUUCCACCCCCCAUUCUGCUUUGAGGCAACAGAUCCCUCCCAGCUGCAUGCGCCUUGCUCACCACGAAGGUUCUAGGUUGACUUGUCCAGUGCUGGCUACCCUUCCCAGAAUGUCAACUCAGUAAGGGUUGGGGAGGAUGUUUAAUUAGUAUGUUUUGUUUGUGGCUGUGUAUCUAAUUCCUAGAACAAUGUCUGCCACAUCAUGGAUAUUUAGUUAAGUUGUUAUGGGGUACCCACCGGAGACGACCUCUCAGAUACAGCCUAUAACCAACUGAAAGUCUUUAUUCCAUCCAGCCAACUGAGACUACACUCAGGAAUUCAGGACGCAAGUAUAGCACCAAGCCUUUGGGGUAAGGGGGUUUUUCAAAGACAAAACCACAUCCUGGUAUCUUGCUUGGCAGCUGCAGAGGAAGGUUUUAUGCAAACAAGCAGUUUAACAGAAGUUAAGACAAGCAGCGGAGGAGGGGGCAGGUUGCAGAAGCAGGCAGUAUAACAGAAGGUACGGUAGCCUAGCUGGCCAUCUUGACCUCGGGUUCUGAGGAUAGAAUUGGGUGAUUUUCCAUUUGAUUCUCCCUCGAAGAGAUGAAAUUCUAGUUAAACCUAACGUGGCCUCAGCAAGAAUCCAAGAUGGAGGAACCUCGCACUGUCUUGCCCUGUCACAGGGGACUGAGUUGAAUGAGAACCAAAGGUUAAACUUUGUCCUUAAUACCAAAAGAAGCUAUAUUUCCAUACCUGAGGAGUGCUUCCCACCUGCUGUUCCAGAGAGGGCAGGGUGCUAAAAAUAUUAAAUUGGAAAGAUUGGAGGAAAACUGGGGAAAAGGAAAUUGGAAAUAACCAUUACCAGUAACCCCUGGGAGAAACUGUAAUAUAAGGGAACGGAAAAUGGGAUGUCUGAGGUCAAGAAGGCAUUUUCUUUCAGCUGGAAGAGGUGGCAGUGGGUCAGUAUGCCAUCGGAAAUAAGAAAAGGUGAGGGAGGGCCUGGCUGGUGAGAUGUUUCAGUAGCUGAAGGUGCUUGCUGCCAAGCCUGAUGACCUUGAGUUCAGUCUGUGAACCCCACGUGGUGGGAGAGAAUUGACUCAUACAAGAUGUCCACUGCACACCUGUGUGCACAUAUACCCAAGUCAGUGUUAUAAUAAAAACUGUUCUAAAAGGAGAAAGCAAGCAUGACAUUAGAGACAUCAGUUCACGGUGUCCGUAAAGAGAUGGCGUGCUGGCCAGUUUUAUGUCAGCUAGACACGAGCUGGAGUCAUUUUCAAAGAGGGAGCCUCAGUUGAGAAAAAGCCCCCAAGGUGGUCAGUGAGUGGGCCUCCUAGAGGCCUGGUGGCCUGGAGGAGGAGGAGCAGGAAGGAGGCCUGCUGUGCUCCUGGGCCUCCUGACCCACCCGUGAGGGCCCCCAUCCCUGCCCCAGCACACACACACGCGCGCACACACACACACACACACACACACACACACACACACACACACACACACACGGAAGAGGAAGUUCCUAUUCUCUGGUGGUCCUUGCUCCUUGCCCAACCCGAAUGGGACUUCAAAGCCGGCAGAUGGGAAGGAGUCCAGCUAUGUUCUUCAAGGAGCCUUGGGUUUCUUUUAGACGGAGGACAGAGUGAUGAAUCCUAGACUCAGGAUUGGAGGGGUUUUCAAGUCCAGCUGGCGGGAACAACUACUCGGUUGGAUUUCCCUGCCUGUACCCCCCUCCCUACCCCACCGCCCAGCUCACGUCCACUUUCUGCUCACACACGGGCUGACCCUAGGCCUGCAGCCUUCUCUUGCUCUAGCCCCUCUGGAGUUCUGCAGCAUGAAUGUAACCUGGGAAGCUCUCCUCCCCGGAGCCCCACCCCUGCCUCUGUGCCCUCACCCCCGAUGGCCAUGGCCGCUGUUCCUCUGUUGGAGCCCCCUUGUGUCCACCAGCCUUCCAAGCAUGGCCUGGUCAAUGGUUGCCUCUUCCUGAGAAUUCCCCUUCUAGUCUGGGCCUGCCGGCCCCCUGCAGUUCCCUUUCACACAGGGGACAAGCUCUGGGGUCCCUUCCUGGAGGGGGCGUUCCUUCUCCUCACAUGGUGGCUGUACCUCUUCUUAAUGUCCCGCGGCCAGCUGCCAGACUCAUGGCUUCUGGCCCCCUUUCCGCUUCCCCGCUCGCCCAGUGACAGUCACUGAUUCACUGACUAAACAGAGGCCCCUGCCAGCCUGGGCAGCUUCUGUUUUCCCAGGAUGACGACGGAAGAGUCGCAGGAAUGGAGGCCGAGUGCGCUGUGGAGUAAGGCUGAACGAAAUCCCAGCAGGCCCCGGAGCUUACAUCCGAAGACCUGUGGAGUGGUGUGGGGCUGACCUGGGGACCCCAGAGCCGCAGCAGACUGCAAGGCUCAGGUCAUCUCCAGAAAGCAACCUAGAAGACCCCAGGCUUCCUGCCAGCUGCGGCCUUUUCCUGUGGAAACCCUAGAGGCCCUGGGCCCCAGAGCUGGAGCAUGGCCCUGAUCCUCCCGGAUAUGUUUACAGAAGUGCUCAGAAGUGCUCGCCAGCACGCCCCGUUUGGAAAUGUCUUAAGAUAGGAAACACAGUUGUCCCUGAUGAGCGCCUAGGUGACAGGGGAUGCUUGCAAAACAGAAUCAUUUCCUCCCAGGCUGCCAAGUGUGGGGGUCCUGCCCUGCCUCUGCACAUCCUGCAGGAGUGACUCAACUUGAGUUUCCCUCCCAGACUCUUAAGUGGUUUCCAUUCAGGAGGCCAGUGUCUGAAGGGGCUGCGUCUGCUAGCACAGCGGGGAGCCAGGCAGUAUGGCCAGCCGCCUCUUACUCCACAGCAACAUGGCUGCCUUCGGUGCCUCGAAAUCAGGCCCAGCUCAGCCGCGUCACAGUCACUCCGUUAACUGUGACAAUCCCUGACAGAAGCAUCUGGAGAAAGGAAAGGCCUGGCUUUGGCUCACAGUUUGGGACUGUCGUCCGUAGGGGUUGGGGAAGGCAUGGCGGCAGCAGCGUGAGGCCCCUGGAUAGAUUGCAUUUGUGGUCCAACUGAGAAGGAUGAGUGGAUACUGGCCCUCACCUCUCUCUGUCCUUUGUAUUCAGUCCAGGACCCCAGCCCAGGGAAUGGUGCUGCCCCCAGUGAAGGUGGGUUUUCCCACCCUGAUUAAUCAAGAUACUCUCAGACAUACCCAGAGGUUUGUCUCCUAGGUGACUCUAGAUCCUGUCAGAUUGACAAAUUAACCACUGCUUGGGGGAGGGGUACAUGCCAAAUGACCUUUUAACCAUUAUUUUAAAAAGAUUUUUAAAUUUUUAUGUGUAUAUGCAUGUGUGUCAAUGUGUGUGUACACGUGUGCGUGCACGUGUGCAUGCGCAUGCACGUGCGCCACAUGGGCAGGUACCUGUCAGGGCCAGAAGAGGGUGCUGGAUUCCCAGGAGCUGGGGUUUCAUGCUGCCCCGUGUGGGAGAUGAGAACUGAACUCGGGUCCUUCUGAAGCACAGCCUCUCUCAACUGCAAAGCCGUGGCUGCAGCCCUCAUUUUAACAGUCUUUAAGCAUGAGGUCCAGUGGCCGAGGUAUGUGCACGCUGCUGUGUGGCAUCCCCACCAUCCACCUCCAAAGCUUUGUCAUCUGCCCUGCUGACACCCUGUGCCCCUUGACCCUAAUCCUCCUAGCUGCUGGUGACCUUUAUGCUGCUUGCUGACUGUGAGGUUGCCUCAUCUCAUGGGGUCAUCCAGGCGUGACCUUUUGUGUCUCGCUCAUCUCACUCACCGUGUGGUGUUCAAGGUUGAUCUCUGUGGCAGCAUGGUGGGUGUCUCCCCUUCCUGCGGCUGAGUCAUAACCCUCUGGUGUGCACGCACACCACCUUCUGCCCAUCUGUUCCUCUGUCACUGGGGACACUUGGCUCGCUCCCUCCUUCUGGUUAUCAUUGCCUUGUGCAGCUGUGGAUACUGUUGGACCUUGUGAGGAGUUACUAAGGUUUUUUCCAUCAUUGUAAAGAAGGAGUUAUUUAGUGUGUCUGUGUGUCUGUAUGUCUGUCGGAAGAAACCUUGCAGGAGUCGAUGCUCUUUUUUUUUCACUGUAUGGGUCCUGAGGAUCAAACUCGGGUUGUCAGGUUUGACUGCAGGCACCUUUCCCCUGCUGUGGAAUAUUACUUUAACUAUGUAAUGGUGUGUUACGUUUGUUUGUAUUGCAGAAUAUUACUUUAACUGUGUAAAGGUGUGUUACAUUUCUUUAUGUUUUGGAAUAUGCAUUAACUAUGUAAAGGUGUGCUGUAUUUGUUACGGUGCAUUUGUUCAACGAGGCAAACGUGUGACAUUUGUUUAUGCUGCAUUUGUUUAACGAUUAAAGAUUGCGUUGCUUUGCCUGCCUAA